rnacentral:SRP_RNA from 1 species
UGCCAGGACCCAUGGAAUGCGGACUUACGAACCCCGCCAGGGCAGGAAUGCAGCAACGGCAGUUUGCUCUGCAUCCGCCGUGGUCAUCCUGGCAUUU